AACGAACGUUAGCGGCGCGCUUAACACAUGCAAGUCGCACGAGAAAGGGCUUCGGCCCCGGUAAAGUGGCGCACGGGUGAGUAACACGUGGAUAACCUACCCUCGAGCAGGGGAUAACAUCCCGAAAGGGGUGCUAAUACCGCAUAAGACCACGGCUUCGAAAGGAGCUGAGGUAAAAGCUGGCCUCUAUAUAUAAGCUAGCGCUUGAGGACGGGUCCGCGGCGCAUCAGGUAGUUGGCGGGGUAAUGGCCCACCAAGCCUAAGACGCGUAGCUGGUCUGAGAGGAUGAUCAGCCACACUGGAACUGAGACACGGUCCAGACUCCUACGGGAGGCAGCAGUGGGGAAUCUUGCGCAAUGGACGAAAGUCUGACGCAGCGACGCCGCGUGUGUGAUGAAGGCC
rnacentral:rRNA from 1 species